GACAGAGGCUGGCGGGCCUGGCCAGGGUCGUAGCGGAGAGGGACCGGCGUGGCGUUGGUCGUGGUCGUCGCCGUUGUCGUCGUCCUCGUUAGUAUAGUGGGCAAACACUCCAGAACACAGUGAAAACCUCAUCCUGAGGAUCAGAAAGAACUCACCAUUGCGCUGGCAUUCUGAGCCUGCUCAUCACCCAGAGUUCCAUUCAGGAUGGAUGAGGAUUGAACUGCAACCUGCCCUUGACCAUACAUCAUACACUAACCUCUAACUGGACCCUGACCUUGACCCACAGUGUUAAGAAAAUAACAUCCCCCAAUGUAUCCACGUAUUAAGCCAUGAAUAUGUUGCCUUGUGCUGUACCAUGGGUUGGAUAUGUUUGUGUGCUAGAAGCUUGUGGUGCCCAUUGUGGCUCUAUUGAGGCAGCAAUAAAAGAAGUAGCCCUGAUGGGGCUAGAUCGAU